rnacentral:rRNA from 1 species
ACCGGAGCUUGCUCCACCGGAAAAAGAGGAGUGGCGAACGGGUGAGUAACACGUGGGUAACCUGCCCAUCAGAAGGGGAUAACACUUGGAAACAGGUGCUAAUACCGUAUAACAAUCGAAACCGCAUGGUUUUGAUUUGAAAGGCGCUUUCGGGUGUCGCUGAUGGAUGGACCCGCGGUGCAUUAGCUAGUUGGUGAGGUAACGGCUCACCAAGGCCACGAUGCAUAGCCGACCUGAGAGGGUGAUCGGCCACAUUGGGACUGAGACACGGCCCAAACUCCUACGGGAGGCAGCAGUAGGGAAUCUUCGGCAAUGGACGAAAGUCUGACCGAGCAACGCCGCGUGAGUGAAGAAGGUUUUCGGAUCGUAAAACUCUGUUGUUAGAGAAGAACAAGGAUGAGAGUAACUGUUCAUCCCUUGACGGUAUCUAACCAGAAAGCCACGGCUAACUACGUGCCAGCAGCCGCGGUAAUACGUAGGUGGCAAGCGUUGUCCGGAUUUAUUGGGCGUAAAGCGAGCGCAGGCGGUUUCUUAAGUCUGAUGUGAAAGCCCCCGGCUCAACCGGGGAGGGUCAUUGGAAACUGGGAGACUUGAGUGCAGAAGAGGAGAGUGGAAUUCCAUGUGUAGCGGUGAAAUGCGUAGAUAUAUGGAGGAACACCAGUGGCGAAGGCGGCUCUCUGGUCUGUAACUGACGCUGAGGCUCGAAAGCGUGGGGAGCAAACAGGAUUAGAUACCCUGGUAGUCCACGCCGUAAACGAUGAGUGCUAAGUGUUGGAGGGUUUCCGCCCUUCAGUGCUGCAGCUAACGCAUUAAGCACUCCGCCUGGGGAGUACGACCGCAAGGUUGAAACUCAAAGGAAUUGACGGGGGGCCCGCACAAGCGGUGGAACAUGUGGUUUAAUUCCAAGCAACCCGAAAAAACCUUACCAGGGUCUUGAACAUCCUUUUGACCA